rnacentral:rRNA from 1 species
CCUGGUAAAAAAGUCCUUUGGAACAGGGCAUCAUAGAGGGUGAGAAUCCCGUCAUUGGCCAGAGCUGUUGUCUUUUGUGAUACAUUUUCAAAGAGUCAGGUUGUUUGGGAAUGCAGCCUAAAUUGGGUGGUAAAUCUCACCUAAAGCUAAAUAUUUGCGAGAGACCGAUAGCGAACAAGUACCGUGAGGGAAAGAUGAAAAGAAUUUUGAAAAGAGAGUUAAACAGUAUGUGAAAUUGUUAAAAGGGAACCGUUUGGAGCCCGACUGGCUUAAUCGUAAUCACUCUAGGCUUUGGCCUGGAUGCACUUGCGGNUUAUGCCGNCCAACGACAGUUUUGUUUGAGGGAAAAAAUUACUUUGAAUGUGGCCCCUCG